rnacentral:rRNA from 1 species
GGCGAGUGAAGCGGCAACAGCUCAAAUUUGAAAUCUGGCGUCUUUGGCGUCCGAGUUGUAAUUUGCAGAGGGCGCUUUGGCAUUGGCAGCGGUCCAAGUUCCUUGGAACAGGACGUCACAGAGGGUGAGAAUCCCGUACGUGGUCGCUAGCCUUUACCGUGUAAAGCCCCUUCGACGAGUCGAGUUGUUUGGGAAUGCAGCUCUAAAUGGGAGGUAAAUUUCUUCUAAAGCUAAAUACUGGCCAGAGACCGAUAGCGCACAAGUAGAGUGAUCGAAAGAUGAAAAGCACUUUGGAAAGAGAGUUAAAAAGCACGUGAAAUUGUUGAAAGGGAAGCGCUUGCAGCCAGACUUGCCUGUAGUUGCUCAUCCGGGUUUUUACCCGGUGCACUCUUCUAUAGGCAGGCCAGCAUCAGUUUGGGCGGUUGGAUAAAGGUCUCUGUCAUGUACCUCUCUUCGGGGAGAACUUAUAGGGGAGACGACAUGCAACCAGCCUGGACUGAGGUCCGCGCAUCUGCUAGGAUGCUGGCGUAAUGGCUGUAAGCGGCCCGUCUUGAAACACGGACCAAGGAGUCUAACAUCUAUGCGAGUGUUUGGGUGUCAAGCCCGAACGCGUAAUGAAAGUGAACGGAGGUGGGAACCUUUCGGGGUGCACCAUCGACCGAUCCUGAUGUCUUCGGAUGGAUUUGAGUAAGAGCAUAGCUGUUGGGACCCGAAAGAUGGUGAACUAUGCUUGAAUAGGGUGAAGCCAGAGGAAACUCUGGUGGAGGCUCGCAGCGGUUCUGACGUGCAAAUCGAUCGUCAAAUUUGGGCAU